rnacentral:rRNA from 1 species
UAAUACGUAGGGGGCAAGCGUUGUCCGGAUUUAUUGGGCGUAAAGAGCGUGUAGGCGGCCAGACAGGUCCGUUGUGAAAACUCGAGGCUCAACCUCGAGACGUCGACGGAAACCGUCUGGCUAGAGUCCGGAAGAGGAGUGUGGAAUUCCUGGUGUAGCGGUGAAAUGCGCAGAUAUCAGGAAGAACACCUAUGGCGAAGGCAGCACUCUGGGACGGUACUGACGCUGAGACGCGAAAGCGUGGGGAGCGAACAGGAUUAGAUACCCUGGUAGUCCACGCCGUAAACGAUGGAUGCUAGGUGUGGGCGGUGUCGACUCCGUCCGUGCCGAAGCUAACGCAUUAAGCAUCCCGCCUGGGGAGUACGGCCGCAAGGCUA